rnacentral:rRNA from 1 species
ACGACUCUCGGCAACGGAUAUCUCGGCUCUCGCAUCGAUGAAGAACGUAGCAAACUGCGAUACUUGGUGUGAAUUGCAGAAUCCCGUGAACCAUCGAGUCUUUGAACGCAAGUUGCGCCCGAAGCCGUUAGGCCGAGGGCACGUCUGCCUGGGCGUCAC